rnacentral:tRNA from 1 species
AAGGGUAUAGCUCAAGUGGUAGAGCGUAUGCUUAGCAUGCAUGAGAUCCUGGGUUCAAGUCCUAAUACCUCCA